GUAUUUGCUUUGACAACACAUAUACUAAAAUUGGAACAACACAGAGAAGAUCAGCAAGGCCCCUCUACAAGGAUGAGAUGCAAAUUUAUGAAGUUUUGCAUAUUUUG
ensembl:snRNA U6 U6 spliceosomal RNA